rnacentral:rRNA from 1 species
GAUGAACGCUGGCGGCGUGCCUAAUACAUGCAAGUCGAGCGAACAGACGAGGAGCUUGCUCCUCUGACGUUAGCGGCGGACGGGUGAGUAACACGUGGAUAACCUACCUAUAAGACUGGGAUAACUUCGGGAAACCGGAGCUAAUACCGGAUAAUAUAUUGAACCGCAUGGUUCAAUAGUGAAAGACGGUUUUGCUGUCAUUUAUAGAUGGAUUCGCGCCGCAUUAGCUAGUUGGGAAGGUAACGGCUUACCAAGGCAACGAUGCGUAGCCGACCUGAGAGGGUGAUCGGCCACACUGGAACUGAGACACGGUCCAGACUCCUACGGGAGGCAGCAGUAGGGAAUCUUCCGCAAUGGGCGAAAGCCUGACGGAGCAACGCCGCGUGAGUGAUGAAGGUCUUCGGAUCGUAAAACUCUGUUAUUAGGGAAGAACAAAUGUGUAAGUAACUAUGCACGUCUUGACGGUACCUAAUCAGAAAGCCACGGCUAACUACGUGCCAGCCGCCGCAGUAA